CGCGGCGGCCGUUGUGAGGGGCGGCGGGAGGAUGGCGGGGGGCGGCCGCCGGCCCCGCUGCCCCCCGGGCGCUCUCCUGGGCCUGGCGGCCGUGGUGGUGGCGGCGGGAUGGGUGAGAGCAGAACAGAAGGAAGAGCAAUCUAUUGAUUUAAUUGGAAAGAAUGAAGUUUAUGGUGACACCAGGCAUGAAGUGAAUGUGUAUGUUAAGGUGUUCACAAACAGCCCGUUCCUGGUCUGUAUGGAUUUGGCUCUUUCUCAAGAAAGAAUAAUAGAUCCCAACUACUUGUGGACGGGUCCAGAUGGAAGAGAUUUACAAGGGCAAAGCUAUGUGAAUCUGACAGAGACAGGGAAACUGAUGGUGAUGGGUUUCAUGGUGUCAAUGUCUGGUGCCUACACUUGUACUCUCUCCCACAAAGUCAUCGAAACCACAACACAGGAGGAAACAGAAAUGGUUGAAGCCUAUAAAUUCAUGGUUUAUGAUUCACACCCAAGCUAUUUCCUCCCAGCCUACAGGGAAGCUGACCAUGCCUAUCAGGUGUCUGUCCGCUUUAGCACAACGGGAUGCAAGCUGAGAAGCAACGGCUUGUUCAUCGAGGUGCUAAAAAAAAUCCUCAACAGCACCAUCUCCCACCUGACCUGCCACAUCACAGAGGCAUCCUACAAGUGCCACUCUAUCAGGACACCAAAGAACGGCCUCCAGUAUGAGCUGUUUGUUAAUUUUCUAGUCAAUCCAUUUGCACCAGGAUGGGAAGGAGUUUGCCACGGGGUUCUUUAUGACUGUGAAGAUGUGACAAACAGGAGAGUCCGACAGGCAGCAGAGCAAAUUGGGAAGUUUUUCCAUCAGCUGAGGCACGUUUUAAAGCACGAGUUUCAGGCUGUUCCUACAAUCCAGUACGUGGACAACAGCUUCUCCAUGACUCCCAUCGACAGCUGUCAGCCAGGUUUUGGGAAAAGCCACCACACCCACCAGAACUGCGCCAGCUGCUGCGCCUGGACAUGAGGAGAAAGGAAAAUCAGGCCUCCCAAGACAAAAGAGAGGAAUAAAGAGGGAAUAUUCCAGAGGGAAGCAGAGAGUCUGCAGAGCCUCUUCCACUUCCUCCUGCUGCAUCUUCCCCCUCAGCUGCACCAAACCCUCGUGCAGGGCCCGGCUGGCCCCAGGUGCUGUAGGAACAGACGAUCCUCUUACACCAGCUGUGAAUUCCCGACGAGUUCACCGGAUGAUACAAAUUGCCAAAGCACUGAGCUAAUGGGAACGUUUUCUUCCCAGAGCAACCUCACCCCAACCUGCUUUGGAAGGUUAGCUGCUGGAUCUGCAGCGAUCCAUCACCCUGCUCACAGAACCUCCUGGAUCUCAGCACGUACUGACAGCACACGAGAGCUUUGAAACAUCCACAAAUGGCAAAAAUAACAGGAAUAAUCUGCCAGCUGGAAGCUGCAGCCCAUUGUUUUCCCAUCAAAGCUGCCUGGAACAACCCACUUGAGAAACACUUAAGGAACACGUGUUCAGACAUUCACUGCCUGCAAGCAGUGAUGGGACUCGUCCAUCGGGUGACAGUGACACUUUGGCUCCGGUGGGAAAGUUGUCUUGUAACUCCCUGCAGCAGCUUCAUUAACCCACAAUCGAGAUGUUCCUCUAAAUUUAAGCCAAGAGGAGUUGAAGGAGCUACAGACCUGCCCAGGACACAACUCAUGACCCCUACUCACAGGUGAUAAGGAGAGGGGCUGUGGGAAGCAGGCAGAGCAGGUGCCCUGGGGUUGGCACAUCCCAGGUACUCAUCACACCUGGCAUGGGUGUGGUGCAGCCCUGGCUAAUCCAUUCCCCAGGAAUUCCUCCAAGGACACAACCAGGAACCGUUUCGGUGGAAAGCUGCUUGAAAACAAAGCUUGACCAAGAGUCAGGGGUGUUCCAAGAGUGCCCAGGUGACACUGAAAGUGCCACAGAUACAGGUCCCUGGUGCUUCCACAGGAGGAUGAAGCUGAGCCCCAGACCAUGGAAUCUGAUGGUCCUGGGUCAUCUGAGACAUGAGAAAUACCUGGAAAUACAACAUUUCCCUCUGAGAGUGAAAACUUUGAGGGUCACACAAUUUUAUUAAUUGGUACAACUUUAUCCUAAAAGAACAGCUGUUGGAAAAUGAACCCUGGACUCAGCCAUGCCUGCCUUGGACGAGUGAUGAGAAGGAAAAUUACCAGGGAGUCUGGAGGGGAGUGCGUGGCUGGCUGAACCACUGAGCUCUCAACCACAGGCACAGGAAGUGCUAUUGUGAUUUUUAACUCUGCUUUGUUUUCCUACCCACUGAAAUUAAAUUUUCUCCUGCCCAAGCCCAGUGACCACAUGAUGUGCCCAGCAGCCUUCCUAGAACCACUGGCAUCAUCAAUUAAUGAGUCCUGUGCAGGCAGUGAACAUGGAUGAUUCAUUAUUGGCAGCAAUGCAGCUGUACAUGGAUUUUUUUGGGGGAUGAAAGAAAUAAAUAAGGUCCCUGAGUGAAA